rnacentral:rRNA from 1 species
UAAAUGACUCUCGGCAACGGAUAUCUCGGCUCUCGCAUCGAUGAAGAACGUAGCGAAAUGCGAUACUUGGUGUGAAUUGCAGAAUCCCGUGAACCAUCGAGUCUUUGAACGCAAGUUGCGCCCAAAGCCAUUAGGUCGAGGGCACGCCUGCCUGGGCGU